AGGACGAACGCUGGCGGCGUGCUUAACACAUGCAAGUCGAACGGUGACCUCGGAGCUUGCUCCGGGUGAUCAGUGGCGAACGGGUGAGUAACACGUGAGCAACCUGCCCCUGGCUCUGGGAUAACUCCGGGAAACCGGAGCUAAUACCGGAUACGAGACCGAUUGGCAUCUUUACGGUCUGGAAAGUUUUUCGGCCAGGGAUGGGCUCGCGGCCUAUCAGCUUGUUGGUGGGGUAAUGGCCCACCAAGGCGACGACGGGUAGCCGG
rnacentral:rRNA from 1 species